rnacentral:rRNA from 1 species
AUGGCUCAGUUGCCGCCGGGCUUCCCCGGCUUUUCCUUCCCUCCACCGACGUGGCCAUACCGUCCUUCCAUGCCGCCGCCACCAUACGGAUACAAGCACGAGCCACCGUCCGGCGGUUCGUCUCAAGGCAGGACCGUCGCCGGCACCUUCGGCGGCCUCGUCGCCUGCUUGCUCCUUGGCAUCGCCGUGUGCAGCAUCUGCAAGAGGCGUCGCGCGGCCGCGCCGGCGCAGAACGUGGCCGCAGCCGAUCGGGCGCAGAACCUGACGGAAAGCAGCAGCGUGCGCGUCGACGUGGGGCAGCUUCACCGGGCCUGCGCCGCCAGCCCGACGGCCGGCCUCCCGGCGUUCACGUACAGCCUGUCGGUGAAGCACAACGUGACGGGCGGAGGGGAUGAGGCGGCGACGUGCUCGGUGUGCCUCGGCGCGAUGCAGGUCGGCGAGAUGGUGCGGCUGCUGCCGGCGUGCCUGCACCUGUACCACACGGAGUGCAUUGACCCGUGGCUGGCCGCGCACUCGACGUGCCCGGUAUGCCGCUCGGACACCGACCCGGCCGCUGUCUCGCUAGAUGCACAUUUUGACGGGUGUUAA